rnacentral:rRNA from 1 species
GAAUGCAUCCCGUCUCCUCUGAUUUGGGAAGCUAAGC